UGUAAAUAAGUGCCAACUACA
rnacentral:siRNA from 1 species